AUUAAAUUAAUAGUCAUAAAUUUAGCUAUGUUUAUGUACAUACUUGAGAUAAUGAAGUAGAUCAAUCCUAAUAAAACGAACUGGUUAAUAUGCAGACUAUUAGCAAAGUUUGCCGGUUACAUUGUAUUAGGUGUUAGUUACUGCUGUCAUGCAUGUGAUUUGUUUUGAACUCUUCACAAUGCAUCCACUAUAAUACAAACUAGUUUUAGGUUAUACUGGGUUGGGCAAGUAAUCUUCCCUUUUGUAGGUACAGGUAGGGCUCUUAGGUGGGUCGUUGUUGGAUUUGAGAACGUUGAGUGUGUUCUUGUUUUGCUCAGUGUGUUUUUCUCGGAUUCAAGCUUUGCGAUGUAUUCUUGUGAGUUUUUUUUUUGUGGCCAACGGUGAUCGUCUUCCUUCUGGAGCUCGGUUAAUUGGUUCAAUUGCCUCGGAUUUAAACGAAGGUGAGGAAGAUUCUCUGGAUUUGGAAGGCCCUCGGACGGAGUAGACGAGGAGGCGGGAUGGAUGCAUGGUACUGUCCAUAGUCUGGGAGUGCGAAGCAUACUGGAUUCACCGUGAGGGAUUUUUGUUUCUUUAUCAUUCGGGUGGGGAUAUAUGAAGAGAUAUUGUUAUUAUUGAUAAACAUAUGUUGAUACAGUCAUGUCCAUUGGUUAUGAUUAGUUUCCUUAAUGGUACUGCAAUUUUGAUCA